rnacentral:rRNA from 1 species
AGAGUUUGAUCCUGGCUCAGAACUAACGCUGGCGGCGUGCCUAACACAUGCAAGUCGUACGAGAAAGUUGGCUUCGGCUGAUGAGUAAAGUGGCGCACGGGUGAGUAACGCGUGGAUAAUCUGCCUUUUAGUUGGGAAUAACGUACCGAAAGGUGCGCUAAUACCGGAUAAUACUGAGUGACUACUGUUGCUUAGUCAAAGAAGGCCUCUGUUUACAAGCUUUUGCUGAAAGAUGAGUCCGCGUACCAUUAGCUAGUUGGUCGGGUAAUGGCCUACCAAGGCUACGAUGGUUAGCUGGUCUGAGAGGAUGAUCAGCCACACUGGAACUGAGACACGGUCCAGACUCCUACGGGAGGCAGCAGUGAGGAAUAUUGCGCAAUGGGGGCAACCCUGACGCAGCAACGCCGCGUGAGUGAGGAAGGUUUUCGGAUCGUAAAGCUCUGUCGAGUGGGAGGAAAUGUAUCAUGGCUAAUAUCCAUGAUACUUGACGGUACCGCUAAAGGAAGCACCGGCUAACUCCGUGCCAGCAGCCGCGGUAAUACGGGGGGUGCAAGCGUUGUUCGGAAUUAUUGGGCGUAAAGAGCGUGUAGGCGGCUGAAUAAGUCAGAUGUGAAAUCCCUGGGCUUAACUCAGGAAGUGCAUUUGAAACUAUUCAGCUCGAGUAGGGGAGAGGAAAGUGGAAUUCCUGGUGUAGAGGUGAAAUUCGUAGAUAUCAGGAGGAACACCGGUGGCGAAGGCGACUUUCUGGCCCUAUACUGACGCUGAGACGCGAGAGCGUGGGUAGCAAACAGGAUUAGAUACCCUGGUAGUCCACGCUGUAAACGAUGUUCACUAGGUGUUGGGGGUAUUGACCCUCUCAGUGCCGAAGCUAACGCAUUAAGUGAACCGCCUGGGGAGUACGGUCGCAAGAUUAAAACUCAAAUGAAUUGACG